UACGUAGGGGGCAAGCGUUGUCCGGAAUCAUUGGGCGUAAAGAGCGUGUAGGCGGCCCGAUAAGUCCGCCGUGAAAGUCCAGGGCUCAACCCUGGAAUGCCGGUGGAAACUGUCGGGCUGGAGUCCGGAAGAGGCGAGUGGAAUUCCUGGUGUAGCGGUGAAAUGCGCAGAUAUCGAGAGGAACACCAGUGGCGAAGGCGAGUCCCUGGACAACACCUGACACUGAGGCACGAAAGCUAGGGGAGCAAACAGG
rnacentral:rRNA from 1 species